rnacentral:lncRNA from 1 species
AAAAAUAGGACACUAAUUAAUAAAUGUUGCAUCCGCAAGACAUUUUUCGGCCAAUUAUCGACUGAAAAAUGUCCUAUUUUUACGACGCUUAUUAAUUAGUGUCCUAUUUUUACUCUAAAAAAAAUUAGUGUCCUAUUUUUACAAGUCCGAAAGUUAUUGUCCUAAUUUCCAAAUCAAUCUAAGUUACUGUCCUAAAAAAUCCUCUGACUC